CACUGUCAGAAGAUGUACCGAAUAAAAAGGAGACGCAAAACGAUAACGCGUCCGUCACCCGGCUGGCUGGAGGACAUGCAAAAACCGUGGCUGUCCUUCAGCCAUCACGCACUGCAAGAGAUGAUUGACAGGAGGAAAUUGAUCCUGCCCAGCCGAGCGAUGGAGUGAGGAAGCUUCAUUUCACAACCGUACGGUCUCCGAACGCAUCAUCGGAGGCGACGGAGGAAACGCACCGCUCGUGUGUUUGACGUCUCAUUUCCUCCGGUUCGCCUUGAACAAAACCGUCAAUCCUCUGGACCGUCUGCCACUACUUCCACACGCGCGCGUGGCUUUUGGCUUUCGGCGGCAGUCCC